rnacentral:lncRNA from 1 species
AUGUCUCACCCGGGAACAAACCCGAGUGCAGCGGCUGGAGGAGGGAAGGCUUCCCCGGGCCGCGAGGUGGGGUGCAGCCCAGGGCGCCUGCAGCUGGUUACCUCGGGAGGCAGGGAAAAGAGGCGCCCGGGAACGGAGGUCUGCAGAGGAGACGGGGAGGGCGGGCUGAGGCAGGGACCCUGCCGAGUGCGAAGCGGGGAUGAGGACGGGCCAACAGCAGGUCUCGGCCUCCCCGGGCCAAAGGCGUGGCCAGGGAUCCAGAUCAAACGCUGGUCUUUUGGAGACGCCAGGGGCGGCACGCGGCCGGUCCCUCCUUUGAGCCCCCGCGCUGGGCCCGUCCGAGGGCCGCCCCACGAAGCACCGGGAGGGCAGAGGGGCUCCGCAGGGCCGGCCCGCCCCCACCCCGCAGUGCUCUUACCUCCACACCUGCCCCAUCUGCAGCAGGUGGAUGACCGACUGCCAGAUCCACACGGAGAGGCGGCACAGGCGCUGCGCCCCGGCGUGGCCGAGACCCCGCGCCUGGGACGCCGCGGGCCGCGCCGUAGACGGCCCCCAUCAUGGGGGGCCCCGGCUGCUGAGCCCCUCCACGGCGCCCAGCCCGCCGCCCGUGUAGUCCUGCACGAACCAGCGGAAGCUCAGGCUCUGCACCAGCAGCGACGGCACCAGCACGAAGAAGAGGGUCAGCCCGAAGUAGCCGUAGUCCCCCUUGCGGUAGUAGUCGAGGGCCAGCCACAGGUCGGUGCCCACGUCCCCGAAGAACACCAGCAGCGCCAGCACGAUCCACAGGCAGUCGAGCCACGGCCGCUCCACCUGCGGCGGCGGCGGCUCUGGCCGCGCGGCCGAGGGCGUCGGGGUUGGCGGUCGGCGCCGGGGGCCGCGGGAGGCUGCAGCGGCUGGUCCCCCCGUCGGCGGCGGCGCUGCGGCGCGGCUUCUGCCCAGGAGGGAGCGCAGGCAGGCGGAGCGGCAGCCCCAGUAGCACGAGGAGGUGUUGCAGCAGUGGCAGAUGUGCAGCGAGCUGCUCUCGCCGGGCUCGCUGCCGUCGCCGCCGCCGCCGCAGCCGCCUCCCCGGGCUCCCCGUCCUCCUCGCCGCCACUGCCCACCGCCUCGUCCAGGUUGUGCAGCUGA